rnacentral:rRNA from 1 species
GCGCGAAAACUUUACAAUGCUGGCAACAGCGAUAAGGGAACCUCGAGUGCCAGGUUACAAAUCUGGCUGUCGAGAUGCCUAAAAAGCAUUUCAUAGCAAGGGCCGGGCAAGACCGGUGCCAGCCGCCGCGGUAACACCGGCGGCUCGAGUGGUAACCGUUAUUAUUGGGUCUAAAGGGUCUGUAGCCGGCCGGAUAAGUCUCUUGAGAAAUCUGGCAGCUUAACUGUCAGGCUUUCAGGAGAUACUGUCUGGCUCGAGGCCGGGAGAGGUGAGAGGUACUUCGAGGGGUAGGGUGAAAUCUUGUAAUCCUUGAAGGACCACCAGUGGCGAAGGCGUCUCACCAGAACGGACCUGACGGCAAGGGACGAAAGCUAGGGGCACGAACCGGAUUAGAUACCCC